UCCGCAAUUUCCGGAACGGGCGGCCAUUGAUAUAGCUGCCUAUUCUUGUCCGUUUUGCGGACAAGAAUAAGACAUGUUAUAUUUUUUUUUGCGGGGCCGCGGAACGGAGCAACGGAUACGGACAGCACACGGAGUGCUGUCCGCAUCUUUUGCUGCCCCA